AAAAACAUCUUUUCUUGUUAGUUUCUGAAGUACGGCCUGCCCGCUGACGUAUUUUUAGUUGAAGGGCCGCGGUAUUUUGACCGUGCAAAGGUAGCAUAGUCAUUAGUUCUUUAAUUGUGAUCUGGUAUGAAUGGCUUGACGAGACAUGAGCUGUCUUGGGUGUGAAUUUGUUGUUGAAUUUGGAGUUUAAGUUAAAAUUCUUAGAUGUUUUUAUGGGACGAGAAGACCCUAUAGAGUUUGACAUUUGAUUGCGUAUUUCUUGUUGUUUGUUUUUAAUUUUUGCUCAUCUUUUGUUUUGUUGGGGUGAUGGGAGGAAUUUAUUUAACUCCUCUUUUAUGUGGCAUACUGAUUUGUGGUUGUUUUGAUCCAUUUAUUUUGAUUGUAAGAUUAAAUUACCUUAGGGAUAACAGCGUUAUCUUCCCUGAGAGUUCUUAUUGGCGGGGGGGUUUGCGACCUCGAUGUUGGAUUAAGGUUAAUUUUUGGUGUAGGAGCUGAAUUGAUUGGGUCUGUUCGACCUUUAAAAUCUUACGUGAUCUGA
rnacentral:rRNA from 1 species